CAUGUCUGAAGAAUACCGAUAAAAUCAUAACGUAGAAACUGCUGUCUCGUGUGUGUAUUGAUUUUACUUUCCGCGUAGCGCAGAUCCGCGAAGUAGUUUUUGUUUGUCUUUCAAAUGAAGUUGAAUUAUUUGAUUUAUCGAUGAAAAUUCAGUGCAUUUUUUAUUCAAGCUGUAUGCUAUUAAAAUAGAAGAGCUCAAAAUUUCAAAAGCAUCUUUCUAUUAUUAGUUUUCAAACAACAGUACUACAUUAUCUAGAAGUAGGACACACUUCCUAAAGUAAGUUAGGCUGUCUCUUUUCCGGUUAGGCCGAUGCCUUAAGAAACUUUAUUGCUAUAGCAA
rnacentral:lncRNA from 1 species